ACUUCAGAGUGAACCUGAAAAGGUGCACUGCGAAGUUUUGCUCUUUAAAAAUCUGGAUCAAGCUGAAAAUUGAAACGACACACAGUUAAUGUGUGUUCGAGUCUCUCAAAUUUUCGCNCACUAUCGUUAACUGAAUACAUAGGUUAACGAGGCGAACCGGGGGAACUGAAACAUCUAAGUACCCCGAGGAAAAGAAAUCAACCGAGAUUCCCCCAGUAGCGGCGAGCGAACGGGGAGCAGCCCAGAGUCUGAAUCAGCUUGUGUGUUAGUGGAACGGUCUGGAAAGUCCGACGGUACAGGGUGAUAGUCCCGUACACCAAAAUGCACAGGCUGUGAACUCGAAGAGUAGGGCGGGACACGUGGUAUCCUGUCUGAAUAUGGGGGGACCAUCCUCCAAGGCUAAAUACUCCUGACUGACCGAUAGUGAACCAGUACCGUGAGGGAAAGGCGAAAAGAACCCCGGCGAGGGGAGUGAAAAAGAACCUGAAACCGUGUACGUACAAGCAGUGGGAGCACCUUCGGGUGUGACUGCGUACCUUUUGUAUAAUGGGUCAGCGACUUAUAUUCUGUAGCAAGGUUAACCGUAUAGGGGAGCCGCAGGGAAACCGAGUCUUAACUGGGCGUUAAGUUGCAGGGUAUAGACCCGAAACCCGGUGAUCUAGCCAUGGGCAGGUUGAAGGUUGGGUAACACUAACUGGAGGACCGAACCGACUAAUGUUGAAAAAUUAGCGGAUGACUUGUGGCUGGGGGUGAAAGGCCAAUCAAACCGGGAGAUAGCUGGUUCUCCCCGAAAGCUAUUUAGGUAGCGCCUCGUGAAUUCAUCUUCGGGGGUAGAGCACUGUUUCGGCUAGGGGGUCAUCCCGACUUACCAACCCGAUGCAAACUACGAAUACCGAAGAAUGUUAUCACGGGAGACACACGGCGGGUGCUAACGUCCGUCGUGAAGAGGGAAACAACCCAGACCGCCAGCUAAGGUCCCAAAGUCAUGGUUAAGUGGGAAACGAUGUGGGAAGGCACAGACAGCCAGGAUGUUGGCUUAGAAGCAGCCAUCAUUUAAAGAAAGCGUAAUAGCUCACUGGUCGAGUCGGCCUGCGCGGAAGAUGUAACGGGGCUAAACCAUGCACCGAAGCUGCGGCAGCGACACUAUGUGUUGUUGGGUAGGGGAGCGUUCUGUAAGCCUGCGAAGGUGUGCUGUGAGGCAUGCUGGAGGUAUCAGAAGUGCGAAUGCUGACAUAAGUAACGAUAAAGCGGGUGAAAAGCCCGCUCGCCGGAAGACCAAGGGUUCCUGUCCAACGUUAAUCGGGGCAGGGUGAGUCGACCCCUAAGGCGAGGCCGAAAGGCGUAGUCGAUGGGAAACAGGUUAAUAUUCCUGUACUUGGUGUUACUGCGAAGGGGGGACGGAGAAGGCUAUGUUAGCCGGGCGACGGUUGUCCCGGUUUAAGCAUGUAGGCUGGUUGUCCAGGCAAAUCCGGAUAAUCAAGGCUGAGGUGUGAUGACGAGGCACUACGGUGCUGAAGUAACAAAUGCCCUGCUUCCAGGAAAAGCCUCUAAGCAUCAGGUAACAUCAAAUCGUACCCCAAACCGACACAGGUGGUCAGGUAGAGAAUACCAAGGCGCUUGAGAGAACUCGGGUGAAGGAACUAGGCAAAAUGGUGCCGUAACUUCGGGAGAAGGCACGCUGGUGUGUAGGUGAAGUCCCUGCGGAUGGAGCUGAGACCAGUCGAAGAUACCAGCUGGCUGCAACUGUUUAUUAAAAACACAGCACUGUGCAAACACGAAAGUGGACGUAUACGGUGUGACGCCUGCCCGGUGCCGGAAGGUUAAUUGAUGGGGUUAUCCGUAAGGAGAAGCUCUUGAUCGAAGCCCCGGUAAACGGCGGCCGUAACUAUAACGGUCCUAAGGUAGCGAAAUUCCUUGUCGGGUAAGUUCCGACCUGCACGAAUGGCGUAAUGAUGGCCAGGCUGUCUCCACCCGAGACUCAGUGAAAUUGAACUCGCUGUGAAGAUGCAGUGUACCCGCGGCAAGACGGAAAGACCCCGUGAACCUUUACUAUAGCUUGACACUGAACAUUGAGCCUUGAUGUGUAGGAUAGGUGGGAGGCUUUGAAGCGUGGACGCCAGUCUGCGUGGAGCCAACCUUGAAAUACCACCCUUUAAUGUUUGAUGUUCUAACGUUGGCCCCUUACCGGGGUUGCGGACAGUGUCUGGUGGGUAGUUUGACUGGGGCGGUCUCCUCCCAAAGCGUAACGGAGGAGCACGAAGGUUAGCUAAUCCUGGUCGGACAUCAGGAGGUUAGUGCAAUGGCAUAAGCUAGCUUGACUGCGAGCGUGACGGCGCGAGCAGGUGCGAAAGCAGGUCAUAGUGAUCCGGUGGUUCUGAAUGGAAGGGCCAUCGCUCAACGGAUAAAAGGUACUCCGGGGAUAACAGGCUGAUACCGCCCAAGAGUUCAUAUCGACGGCGGUGUUUGGCACCUCGAUGUCGGCUCAUCACAUCCUGGGGCUGAAGUAGGUCCCAAGGGUAUGGCUGUUCGCCAUUUAAAGUGGUACGCGAGCUGGGUUUAGAACGUCGUGAGACAGUUCGGUCCCUAUCUGCCGUGGGCGCUGGAGAAUUGAGGGGGGCUGCUCCUAGUACGAGAGGACCGGAGUGGACGCAUCACUGGUGUUCGGGUUGUCAUGCCAAUGGCACUGCCCGGUAGCUAAAUGCGGAAGAGAUAAGUGCUGAAAGCAUCUAAGCACGAAACUUGCCCCGAGAUGAGUUCUCCCUGAGACUUUAAGUCUCCUGAAGGAACGUUGAAGACGACGACGUUGAUAGGCCGGGUGUGUAAGCGCAGCGAUGCGUUGAGCUAACCGGUACUAAUGAACCGUGAGGCUUAACC
rnacentral:rRNA from 1 species